UACGAAGGGGGCUAGCGUUGCUCGGAAUCACUGGGCGUAAAGGGCGCGUAGGCGGCCGAUUAAGUCGGGGGUGAAAGCCUGUGGCUCAACCACAGAAUUGCCUUCGAUACUGGUUGGCUUGAGACCGGAAGAGGACAGCGGAACUGCGAGUGUAGAGGUGAAAUUCGUAGAUAUUCGCAAGAACACCAGUGGCGAAGGCGGCUGUCUGGUCCGGUUCUGACGCUGAGGCGCGAAAAGCGUGGGGGAGCAAACAGG
rnacentral:rRNA from 1 species